UGUUUUCUUUUAUUCCCUUUACUUUAGUUAAUUUCCUUUUCUUGUGGAUUUCUUCUUUCGUUCCAUUUCGGUCAAACUUCCUAUGUCUGUUAUAGUGUACUCUCCUUCCUUGAAAUGACAUUUAUAAAUAAGGUUAACAUGUAAGUCGCUACUUUAAUUUGAUAAAAUGCAAAAUCUCUACCUUACAAAAUGCUUUGAAUGCCUUACAGACUUUGUCUUUGCUGCACACACGGGCAGAAUGGAGUGAUAUUUUAAGAUUUCCUGCAACUAGAAAGAGGCCCAGCCAGCAAGUCCGCUCAACAUAUUCCAGAACAAAUCUAAGAUUGCCUUCUGGUCACUUCCCUAUUUCUUGGAUGGCAUCAUUGGGUGCUCUACCCCUGGGCUCAAGUCUUCCUGACUGCUCACACACUUCUGAGGACUGCUUGAUAGACAUUGUCGUACUACUCAGCUGUCUAGGCAGAGAGGAAGAGGAGACCAAACUUAAACAAUGACUUGUUUAUAUCAUCUCUGCAAAGAGUACAAGCUCUACGGGAACAAGGCCAUGUCCCUCUUGCCCAUCACCAUUUCCCCCAUGUCUGGCAAACAGUAAGCAGGCAGCAAAUACGUGUGGAAAUGAAUGGAAUUGUACACAAUUGACAAGGGAACUUCUGAAUCAGUGUGUUUCCCACUCCAACAUUGGAGGGAUAGAUGUGGAGGCUAGAGAAAGGACUGAAGAGAAAGAGCUAAACUGUCUUGUUAUUUUUCUUAUUUUUAUCAAAUGAACACAUACAGUAAAAAAGUAAAAUAGAAAAGUAUAUAACAAAAAGCACCGAUCUUCUUCUCCACCCCUCCCCACCAUCAUUUGUUUCCUGGGGGCAAUCGCUUAAAACUUUUUCUGUUUUUACUUCUUCCAGUGCUUAGCUCCAUAUCUUUAGAUAAUGUGUCUAUAUGAUUUCUUCUUAAUCAACUUUACGCAUAAUCAUUCUUUUCCCACUAAGCAACACGAGGAUUUAAGAGCUUAUUCUUUAAACCAUGAAUAUGUGGUAAGCCUGGGGUAGUGAGGAAUGAUCCCACUUCUAGUCUAAGGAUUUGGUAGAGCUCCCUGCGCAUAGUUCUAUCAAGGCAAUUGCCAUACUAUCCAAAAACAUCGAUUUUCUUGCUCAUUCCCCCAUGAGAUGCUGAACAACUUGAGUUGUUCUCCAAUUUUGAGUUAUAUCUCCCUCCAAUUUUGUAACCCCAGACCUAUCAGUGUCUUCCAGGUAGCAGGUGGGCUUAUUACAUUUAUUUCUUGAACAAAUCAAUGACUCCUACUGAUAAAGUUACUGGGAAGCUGAUGAGGCACAGAAAAGGGAAGAUCGCAGUGACUGAUCAUCCAAGAAGCAAGGGAACAACUGAUUUCAAGGUUGACUGACCAAAUCGUCCUGCCCCCCCAAACAGCCAAGACCUGAGAUGGCCAGACAGUGCACUGAGCGUGGACAGUCUGCAUUUCCAGUGAGGUGAAGUGUUUUCAAUUAGCAAUAAUAUGAGAUGUCCAUAUAUAGAAGUUACUGUUACAGUCUACAAGUAAUUUUGAGCAAUAUAAAGUCAUAAUUGGUACAUCAUUUUACUGAUUAUUUAAAUUUUUCAAAAAAGAGUUGGAGAUUUAUUCCAUUUUAAACAUAAUAUAAUAAAAAAUAUUUUAAAAAAUGAAAAAUAAAAAAG
rnacentral:lncRNA from 1 species